rnacentral:rRNA from 1 species
CCUAAUACAUGCAGUCGAGCGGACAGAAGGGAGCUUGCUCCCGGAUGUUAGCGGCGGACGGGUGAGUAACACGUGGGUAACCUGCCUGUAAGACUGGGAUAACUCCGGGAAACCGGAGCUAAUACCGGAUAGUUCCUUGAACCGCAUGGUUCAAGGAUGAAAGACGGUUUCGGCUGUCACUUACAGAUGGACCCGCGGCGCAUUAGCUAGUUGGUGAGGUAACGGCUCACCAAGGCGACGAUGCGUAGCCGACCUGAGAGGGUGAUCGGCCACACUGGGACUGAGACACGGCCCAGACUCCUACGGGAGGCAGCAGUAGGGAAUCUUCCGCAAUGGACGAAAGUCUGACGGAGCAACGCCGCGUGAGUGAUGAAGGUUUUCGGAUCGUAAAGCUCUGUUGUUAGGGAAGAACAAGUGCAAGAGUAACUGCUUGCACCUUGACGGUACCUAACCAGAAAGCCACGGCUAACUACGUGCCAGCAGCCGCGGUAAUACGUAGGUGGCAAGCGUUGUCCGGAAUUAUUGGGCGUAAAGGGCUCGCAGGCGGUUUCUUAAGUCUGAUGUGAAAGCCCCCGGCUCAACCGGGGAGGGUCAUUGGAAACUGGGAAACUUGAGUGCAGAAGAGGAGAGUGGAAUUCCACGUGUAGCGGUGAAAUGCGUAGAGAUGUGGAGGAACACCAGUGGCGAAGGCGACUCUCUGGUCUGUAACUGACGCUGAGGAGCGAAAGCGUGGGGAGCGAACAGGAUUAGAACCUG